rnacentral:lncRNA from 1 species
CGAGGCCGAGGGAGCCCAGGUCUCCACAUCCGGUGGAAUCCUAGGGCUUGGCGUCAGGGGAGGCAUCUGGCGCCCGGGGCAUGUUCUUGGCAGGAGGAUGGAUGGGCAGCUCUGAUAAACUGGAGCCCGUCUACCAGGCCUACUCUGCCUGGCUUUGCCCAUCGGAAGCAUAGACGUACAUCGACUCUGUCUUGGAUUCUCAGCUAUUUGAAGAUGGAUACUCUGCGAGGUGCCCUCUCCCCGGUGUUCUCUCCGCCGAAAAGUUCCUUCAGUAAUCACUAAGGACACAUUAUGGACACGCUCAAUUUGCCACUGGCUUGGAGGGCGCGGAUCCAGAAAUACCCACAGAUUGAAAUUUCCACAGAAGUCUCCUAAAUGAAAGCAGAGGGCCAACCUUCAAGAAAAUACCAUUUAAUACCAAAUCUUACCAGAAUAAUCAAAUACAUAGCCAUACGCAUAUAGAAAGACUAUUGGGUAAAAAUAGAACAAUUUUAAGCAACUAAACUACGGACAGACGAAGAACCCCAGAUCAAGAGAAGAGAAAUGUCGUGUCAAAAGUUGCGUGGCUGCUUCCUGGUGGAAUUCAGACUACACUCAUUGACGGGCGGAGCACCAGUUUAGGUCCAACAUGUUAUUACCCCAUCCAGAGACUGCUUUCUCAUCUAUUACAUUAGAAUAAAAAUAAGAAAGUUGACGUCAGAAUUGAACGAG